rnacentral:lncRNA from 1 species
UUUUAAUUAAAUUGAAUUAUUUUUAUGAGGAUCACUACAUUUAAAUAAAAAUUACCUGAUUUUUUAUAUCAAAAUUCACAGAUUCUGCUUCUACACAUUGUCUAUAGGGACCAUAAUUUCUACAAGUCCACUUUUCUAUAUCUUCCACUCUCAUCCCAUUUGAAUAAAAAACAUCCUUUUUUGGACACACAAGGGUCAGGCAGAUGCAACUACACGGUGGUUCACAUCAUUUUCUGAGGAGAACUUAAAAAACUGUUUUUAUACACAAGCAUUUUGUUGGCCAACUAUCAAAUAAAAAAUUCUGACAUUUGUUAAACGUUGGGAAGGAAGACCUUAAUACAAUUGCAGUAGUUGUUAUGGCCAUUGUAAUAGGGCUCAGAAACUGAUCAUAACUCUGAACACCGACAACUCAGAAUUUGUACUCAAUAAGUGGAAUAAAUCAGUGGAUAAGAAAUUACUGAAAAACAUUCGCUAAAAUAUCAAAGGAAGAAGAAUAUUUUCUAACAGAAUUCUGGCUACAGGCUGGCUGAGGACUUAAAUAUCAAGAAAGGGGAGUCUGAAUCUGAGUGGAUGCAGAAGAUAUGUGGAAUAUGCUAAGCCAUAACACGAUUUCUGAAAAUGAGCUUCUUAAACCACAAGCCAGGUAAUAAGUCAAGGUUGGAAUAGUCAAAGAAAGGGUUCAGUUAAUCUUCACUAACCUUUGGUCAUAAAGGACAUUUUUAUCACAACCAAGACUUUUUCUCAUUGGGUCUGAAAAGUAAUAAACACCAAAAGAAUUUUUGUUUGGGAAAUGAACACCCACUUUAUCUGAGAAAAGCUCCACCUUCUCCUGUUUAUCUUUAAAUUUAGUGUAGAAAAAGAGCACUUGUCAUUGCCACAUUUCUUAUUUUUCUUUCAUUCUUCAAAACAGAGAUUCACUUUUAUGCAAACAGCAACUUACCAAACACAAAAGUUAUAGCUCCUGACCACUAUUGAAGCUAACAAUGACUAUAGGACAUUUUAGACAACUGGGCAUAAAUAAUCAGAAGUAUCGAUGGGACUUUGGGAAGACUCCUCAGAUGGAGCUGACACAGCUGUCAUGUUGGUGGGCUUCUAUAAUCUCAGCUACUCUGGAGGCUGAGGCAGGAGAAUUGAUUGAACCCAGCUGGCAGAGGCUGCAGUGAGCUGAGAUCACACCACUACACUCCAGCUUGGACUAGAAGAAUCCAGUUUUAUUCUUCUGCAUAUGGAUAUCUAGUUUUCCCAGCACCAUUUAUUGAGGAGACUGUCUUUUCCCCAGUGUAUGUUCUUCACAGCUUUGUCAAAAAUGAGUUUUCUUGCCGGGCACGGUGGCUCACGCCUGUAAUCCCAGCACUUUGGGAAGCUGAGGCGGGCAGAUCACAAGGACAAGAGAUCGAGACAAUCCUGACCAACACGGUGAAACCCCGUUUCCACUAAAAAUACAAAAAUUAGUUUUUCUGUAUACUUACAGUUACCAGCAACUGUAUGGUUUAAAUAAUUCCUCUAUCAGCAGGUGUAAGCUCAGUUUGGUCUGGUUUUUCUUUCUGUUGUAAUAGAACAGCACUGAGUUCCAUGCCUCACAACGGCUGCACUCUGGCUCUCCGAACCAUGCCACCAUUGUUUGGGGAUUUGGGAGAAAUCAUGUAAGAUAUUCAAGACUGUUUUUCCCAUCUGUUCAGUGCCUCUUUCAGCACUAUGAAGCUAAAACCGGGUACUGUGAGUGCUCACCUAAUUUCUGGUUCUCAUAAAGGUGCUUUUUAAAUGUAGGCAGUUGUUCAAUUGGUGUUUUUGCAGAUGGGGUGGUUGGUGAAGCCUUCUCUUCUGCCAUCUUGCUGUACCUAUGAGCCUUCCAUUACAUUUUAAAUUAAUUAAUAUAAAGCUACAUAUCCAUAUAAGUUUUCCAUGGUCUCUAAAUUAUUAGAUGCCCCAUUUAUAAUAAAUUUUCUCAUCUAAAUUUUUUUUAUUGCAUUUUAGGUU